GUGAGUCGAGCUGACAGACAAGACGAUCGCGGAUGAUUUAGUUCCGAAACGAAAUGCAAAGGUGCCUGUAUGGCAAUAUUUUGGAUUUUGAAAAGCCAGAUCUGAAGAGCA